rnacentral:rRNA from 1 species
UACACAUGCAGUCGAACGGUGAUGCCCAGCUUGCUGGGUGGAUCAGUGGCGAACGGGUGAGUAACACGUGAGUAACCUGCCCCAGACUCCGGGAUAAGCCUUGGAAACGAGGUCUAAUACUGGAUACGAGAUGCCCCUGCAUGGGGAGUGUCUGGAAAGAUUUAUCGGUCUGGGAUGGACUCGCGGCCUAUCAGCUUGUUGGUGGGGUAAUGGCCUACCAAGGCGACGACGGGUAGCCGGCCUGAGAGGGCGACCGGCCACACUGGGACUGAGACACGGCCCAGACUCCUACGGGAGGCAGCAGUGGGGAAUAUUGCACAAUGGGCGAAAGCCUGAUGCAGCGACGCCGCGUGAGGGAUGAAGGCCUUCGGGUUGUAAACCUCUUUCAGCAGGGAAGAAGCGCAAGUGACGGUACCUGCAGAAGAAGCGCCGGCUAACUACGUGCCAGCAGCCGCGGUAAUACGUAGGCGCAAGCGUUGUCCGAUUAUUGGCGUAAAGAGCUCGUAGGCGGUUGUCGCGUCUGGUGUGAAAACUCAAGGCUCACCUUG